AGAGUUUGAUCAUGGCUCAGGACGAACGCUGGCGGCGUGCUUAACACAUGCAAGUCGAACGGUGAAGCGCCUUCCUUUUUGGUGGGUGUGGAUGAGUGGCGAACGGGUGAGUAACACGUGAGUAACCUGCCCCCUUCUUCUGGAUAACCGCAUGAAAGUGUGGCUAAUACGGGAUAUUCUGUGCCUGCUGCAUGGUGGGUGUGGGAAAGAUUGCGCUUUUUUGGUGUUUUUGGUGGGGGAUGGGCUCGCGGCCUAUCAGCUUGUUGGUGGGGUGAUGGCCUACCAAGGCGGUGACGGGUAGCCGGCCUGAGAGGGUGGACGGUCACACUGGGACUGAGACACGGCCCAGACUCCUACGGGAGGCAGCAGUGGGGAAUAUUGCACAAUGGGCGCAAGCCUGAUGCAGCGACGCCGCGUGAGGGAUGGAGGCCUUCGGAUUGUGAACCUCUUUCGCCAGUGAAGCAGGCCUGCUCCUUUUUUGUGGGUGGGUUGACGGUAGCUGGAUAAGAAGCGCCGGCUAACUACGUGCCAGCAGCCGCGGUAAUACGUAGGGCGCGAGCGCUGUCCGGAAUUAUCGGGCGUAAAGAGCUCGUAGGCGGCUGGUCGCGUCUGUCGUGAAAUCCUCUGGCUUAACUGGGGGCUUGCGGUGGGUACGGGCCGGCUUGAGUGCGGUAGGGGAGACUGGAACUCCUGGUGUAGCGGUGGAAUGCGCAGAUAUCAGGAAGAACACCGGUGGCGAAGGCGGGUCUCUGGGCCGUUACUGACGCUGAGGAGCGAAAGCGUGGGGAGCGAACAGGAUUAGAUACCCUGGUAGUCCACGCCGUAAACGUUGGGCACUAGGUGUGGGGGGCCUUUUCCGGGUUUUCCGCGCCGUAGCUAACGCAUUAAGUGCCCCGCCUGGGGAGUACGGCCGCAAGGCUAAAACUCAAAGGAAUUGACGGGGGCCCGCACAAGCGGCGGAGCAUGCGGAUUAAUUCGAUGCAACGCGAAGAACCUUACCAAGGCUUGACAUGUGCCGGUCGGCUCCGGAGACGGGGUUUCCUCCUUGUGGGGCCGGUUCACAGGUGGUGCAUGGUUGUCGUCAGCUCGUGUCGUGAGAUGUUGGGUUAAGUCCCGCAACGAGCGCAACCCUUGUCUCGUGUUGCCAGCACGUUGUGGUGGGGACUCGCGGGAGACUGCCGGGGUCAACUCGGAGGAAGGUGGGGAUGACGUCAAAUCAUCAUGCCCCUUAUGUCUUGGGCUUCACGCAUGCUACAAUGGCCGGUACAGAGGGCUGCGAUACCGUGAGGUGGAGCGAAUCCCUUAAAGCCGGUCCCAGUUCGGAUCGGUGUCUGCAACUCGACACCGUGAAGUUGGAGUCGCUAGUAAUCGCAGAUCAGCAACGCUGCGGUGAAUACGUUCUCGGGCCUUGUACACACCGCCCGUCA
rnacentral:rRNA from 1 species